rnacentral:lncRNA from 10 species
CACUGCUCGCUGCUUCUCUGUGGACAGGACUUUAACCUAACCAGCUCAGCAUGUGCGACGCUAAGCCGAGGGCCCACCUCCCAGGCUGAGCUCACUUUUCCACUAAAUCAUGCCUAACUGACAGUGGCUGACCACAAUCAGAGUUCAUUUCGUCUUCACACAACAUGACGAGGUGGCUGCUUCUCGUGACUGGGCAGUGACUCAACAAAGCACCAGUGGUCCCAGCCCUACCUCUUACAGCCCUUCCCUCUACCGUGCCCUGGAUCUUCUGGGUCACUUCUCAUCACGCUCCAAAGCUCUGCUCAGACCUUCCCUCAUCCAGAGACUGCUGCAUGGUCCCUGCAUCAAAAUGGUGAGCUGUGGGACGGGACCACAGGGCCCCUUAUGCAGAGCUGGUAGGAAGUUGAAGGAGCGCCUGGCUACACACCCCUCUCAGGAUGCUGGUGUGUGGUAGAGGCUCAGAAAUGGGCCUCUCCUGUUUCUCUGCACCACCGGUACCACUGCUCCCCAUUCACAGCCCUUUCCACACAGGGACAGCCCAUGUGUUCCCUGCUCUCCCAAACACUGUGGGGCUGUGAGGACAGGGACUUUGUCUCCUGCCUCUGUCUCCCUGCGGCCCAGCACAGAGCCGCUCUCAUGGUGGACAUCAAUAAAUAUGCACCCAAGGAUUAACUGUAGAGAAAGGGAUGACAAUAAGAGAAGCAGUUCUAGGUAAGUGGUUCCCGAGCUUUAGUGUGCAUCACAAUGCCCUGGGCUGUUGGCUUCAAUGCAGAUUUCUGACUCUGUAGGUCCAGGUGGGGCCAGAGGCUACCACUGCUGGCCCUGCCACCCUUCCCUGGGAGCCCCUGUGUGAUAGAUGCUGAAAUGGAGAGUAUAAGAUGUUGAGAAACCUUCCCCAAACCGCUGAGGCUGACCCUUCAGGUGCCAAAAGUCACUUUCUGCCAGUCCACCUCCAACUUCAGCCACAGCUGCUGUGGACUCUCUGGACAGCUCAGAGCCUCCUGGUGCAACAUGGCCCCGCCCAAGGUCAGUGCACCUGUCAGCAUCCUGUCCCUAGGGAACUCUGAUGCCAGGGAAGCCUUCCAGAUCUUACAAGCACAGCCCAGAGGGCAGAGGGAUAACAGCCAGUGGAGCAGCAGAAAAACCUCCAUUCCCACCCCUCAGGAGAGCGAGACCACCAGGCAUGGGGCAUUGGAAAGAAUCUUCCAGGGGCUGCCAUGGUCCCUCCUUGAUAAUAUGCCUCCCCCCACUGCGAUGGGGGUCCCAAGAGACAGCGGGGGAAGAGGGGCUUGCUCUCAGUCCCCGCCUCUCGGGGGGUGACUCCCCCGCCUGUGAUGGGGGUCCCAAGAGCCAGGGGGAGAAGAGGGGCUGG